rnacentral:lncRNA from 1 species
UAGUCAUCCCCGGAUCCAGUUGUUUGGAGAUCAUAUUGAUGACCCCGACCGUGGGCUGAUUGUUCGCUGCCUCCUCAGUCGGUUGGGGUCGUCGGUCGGGGAUGGGUCGAGUCGGCAGUUUCCUUCAAAAUUUUUUGAGAUACCUCCGGCGUAUGAGGGCCUCAAUUUUAUCCUUGAGCUCGAUGCACUGCUCGAUGUUGUGGCCG